rnacentral:rRNA from 1 species
UACGGGUGGCGCAAGUGUUAUUCCUCAUAACUGGGCGUAAAGGGUGCGUAGAUGGAUAAAUGAAUUUAAAGUGAAUACAAAAAUACUUUUUUAAUUACUUAUCUAGAGUGAUUUAGACGAUAAUGGAACUUCCUGUAUUAGAGUUAAAAUGCGUUUAAAACUGGAAAGAACGCCAAAGGCAAAGGCAGUUAUCGAUUUUUCACUGACGUUGAGGCACGAAGGCAUGGGUAUCGAAUGGG